rnacentral:rRNA from 1 species
AGGGGAUAGUACGGCGAGUGAGCGGUAAAAGCUCAAAUUUGAAAUCUGGUACUUUCAGUGCCCGAGUUGUAAUUUGUAGAAUUUGUCUUUGAUUAGGUCCUUGUCUAUGUUCCUUGGAACAGGACGUCAUAGAGGGUGAGAAUCCCGUUUGGCGAGGAUACCUUUUCUCUGUAAGACUUUUUCGAAGAGUCGAGUUGUUUGGGAAUGCAGCUCAAAGUGGGUGGUAAAUUCCAUCUAAAGCUAAAUAUUGGCGAGAGACCGAUAGCGAACAAGUACAGUGAUGGAAAGAUGAAAAGAACUUUGAAAAGAGAGUGAAAAAGUACGUGAAAUUGUUGAAAGGGAAGGGCAUUUGAUCAGACAUGGUGUUUUUUGCAUGCACUCGCCUCUCGUGGGCUUGGGCCUCUCAAAAAUUUCACUGGGCCAACAUCAAUUCUGGCAGCAGGAUAAAUCAUUAAGAAUGUAGCUACUUCGGUAGUGUUAUAGCUUUUUGGAAUACUGUUAGCCGGGAUUGAGGACUGCGCUUCGGCAAGGAUGUUGGCAUAAUGGUUAAAUGCCGCCCGUCUUGAGAAAAAGGACAAAA